rnacentral:tRNA from 2 species
GCUCCCGUAGUUUAAUGGAUAAAACAUCUCCCUUCUAAGGAGAGAAUAGGGGUUCGAUUCCCUUCGGGAGCA